GAUGAAGAACGCAGCGAAAUGCGAUAAGUAAUGUGAAUUGCAGAAUUCAGUGAAUCAUCGAAUCUUUGAACGCACAUUGCGCCCGCCAGUAUUCUGGCGGGCAUGCCUGUCUGAGCGUCAUUUCAACCCUCAUGCCCCUAGGGCGUGGUGUUGGGGAUCGGCCAAAGCCCGCGAGGGACGGCCGGCCCCUAAAUCUAGUGGCGGACCCGUCGUGGCCUCCUCUGCGAAGUAGUGAUAUUCCGCAUCGGAGAGCGAUGAGCCCCUGCCGUUAAGGCCCCAACUUUCCAAGGUUGACCUCAGAUCAGGUAGGAAUACCCGCUGAACUUAAGCAUAUCAAUAAGCGGAGGA
rnacentral:misc_RNA from 1 species